UACGUAGGGUGCAAGCGUUGUCCGGAAUUAUUGGGCGUAAAGAGCGCGUAGGCGGUCCGAUAAGUCGGCUGUGAAAGUCAGGGGCUCAACCCUUGAAAGCCGGCCGAUACUGUCGGACUAGAGUCCGGAAGAGGCAAGUGGAAUUCCCGGUGUAGCGGUGAAAUGCGCAGAUAUCGGGAGGAACACCAAUGGCGAAGGCAGCUUGCUGGGACGGUACUGACGCUGAGGCGCGAAAGCGGUGGGGAGCAAACAGG
rnacentral:rRNA from 1 species